UACGUAGGGGGCUAGCGUUGUCCGGAUUUAUUGGGCGUAAAGAGCGUGUAGGCGGCCAGGUAGGUCUGCUGUGAAAUCCCGAGGCUCAACCUCGGAACUGCCCUUGAUACUGGGGAUCUCGAGUCCGGAAGAGGUUGGUGGAACUCCGAGUGUAGAGGUGAAAUUCGUAGAUAUUCGGAAGAACACCAGUGGCGAAGGCGGCCAACUGGUCCGGCACUGACGCUGAGGUGCGAAAGCGUGGGGAGCAAACAGG
rnacentral:rRNA from 1 species